rnacentral:rRNA from 1 species
GACGAACGCUGGCGGCGUGCUUAACACAUGCAAGUCGAACGCUGAUGGCCCAGCUUGCUGGGUUGGAUGAGUGGCGAACGGGUGAGUAACACGUGAGUAACCUGCCCUCUUCUUUGGGAUAACGGUCGGAAACGGCUGCUAAUACCGGGUAUUCACUGUCCUUCGCAUGGGGGGUGGUGGAAAGGUUUUUUCUGGUGGGGGAUGGGCUCGCGGCCUAUCAGCUUGUUGGUGGGGUGAUGGCUUACCAAGGCUUUGACGGGUAACCGGCCUGAGAGGGUGACCGGUCACAUUGGGACUGAGAUACGGCCCAGACUCCUACGGGAGGCAGCAGUGGGGAAUAUUGCACAAUGGGCGAAAGCCUGAUGCAGCGGCGCCGCGUGAGGGAUGGAGGCCUUCGGGUUGUAAACCUCUUUCGCUCAUGGUCAAGCCGCAGCUUUGGGUUGUGGUGAGGGUAGUGGGUAAAGAAGCACCGGCUAACUACGUGCUACCAGCCGCGUUAAUACGUAGGGUGCGAGCGUUGUCCGGAAAUAUUGGGGCAUUAAGGGCUUGUACGCGGCUUGCUUCCGCAUUGCCGUGAAAUCCCUCUGGUUUAACUGGGGGAAGCGGUGAGGACCGUCUGGUUUGAGUGCUGU